rnacentral:misc_RNA from 1 species
UACGAAGGGGGCUAGCGUUGUUCGGAAUUACUGGGCGUAAAGGGCGCGUAGGCGGACGAUUAAGUCAGGGGUGAAAUCCCAGGGCUCAACCCUGGAACUGCCUUUGAUACUGGCCGUCUGGAGUUCGGGAGAGGUGAGUGGAAUUCCGAGUGUAGAGGUGAAAUUCGUAGAUAUUCGGAGGAACACCAGAAGCGAAGGCGGCUCACUGGCCCGAUACUGACGCUGAGGCGCGAAAGCGUGGGGAGCAAACAGG